rnacentral:rRNA from 1 species
CUACGGGCCGCAGCAGUGGGGAAUAUUGCACAAUGGGCGCAAGCCUGAUGCAGCCAUGCCGCGUGUAUGAAGAAGGCCUUCGGGUUGUAAAGUACUUUCAGCGGGGAGGAAGGGAGUAAAGUUAAUACCUUUGCUCAUUGACGUUACCCGCAGAAGAAGCACCGGCUAACUCCGUGCCAGCAGCCGCGGUAAUACGGGGGGUGCAAGCGUUAAUCGGAAUUACUGGGCGUAAAGCGCACGCAGGCGGUUUGUUAAGUCAGAUGUGAAAUCCCCGGGCUCAACCUGGGAACUGCAUCUGAUACUGGCAAGCUUGAGUCUCGUAGAGGGGGGUAGAAUUCCAGGUGUAGCGGUGAAAUGCGUAGAGAUCUGGAGGAAUACCGGUGGCGAAGGCGGCCCCCUGGACGAAGACUGACGCUCAGGUGCGAAAGCGUGGGGAGCAAACAGGAUUAGAUACCCCAGUAGUC